CGAACUGGUGAGUAACACGUGGGAAACCUGCCCAGAAGCGGGGGAUAACACCUGGAAACAGAUGCUAAUACCGCANAACAACUUGGACCGCAGGGUCCGAGUUUGAAAGAUGGCUUCGGCUAUCACUUUUGGAUGGUCCCGCGGCGUAUUAGCUAGAUGGUGAGGUAACGGCUCACCAUGGCAAUGAUACGUAGCCGACCUGAGAGGGUAAUCGGCCACAUUGGGACUGAGACACGGCCCAAACUCCUACGGGAGGCAGCAGUAGGGAAUCUUCCACAAUGGACGAAAGUCUGAUGGAGCAACGCCGCGUGAGUGAAGAAGGGUUUCGGCUCGUAAAACUCUGUUGUUAAAGAAGAACAUAUCUGAGAGUAACUGUUCAGGUAUUGACGGUAUUUAACCAGAAAGCCACGGCUAACUACGUGCCAGCAGCCGCGGUAAUACGUAGGUGGCAAGCGUUGUCCGGAUUUAUUGGGCGUAAAGCGAGCGCAGGCGGUUUUUUAAGUCUGAUGUGAAAGCCUUCGGCUCAACCGAAGAAGUGCAUCGGAAACUGGGAAACUUGAGUGCAGAAGAGGACAGUGGAACUCCAUGUGUAGCGGUGAAAUGCGUAGAUAUAUGGAAGAACACCAGUGGCGAAGGCGGCUGUCUGGUCUGUAACUGACGCUGAGGCUCGAAAGUAUGGGUAGCAAACAGGAUUAGAUACCCUGGUAGUCCAUACCGUAAACGAUGAAUGCUAAGUGUUGGAGGGUUUCCGCCCUUCAGUGCUGCAGCUAACGCAUUAAGCAUUCCGCCUGGGGAGUACGGCCGCAAGGCUGAAACUCAAAGGAAUUGACGGGGGCCCGCACAAGCGGUGGAGCAUGUGGUUUAAUUCGAAGCUACGCGAAGAACCUUACCAGGUCUUGACAUACUAUGCAAAUCUAAGAGAUUAGACGUUCCCUUCGGGGACAUGGAUACAGGUGGUGCAUGGUUGUCGUCAGCUCGUGUCGUGAGAUGUUGGGUUAAGUCCCGCAACGAGCGCAACCCUUAUUAUCAGUUGCCAGCAUUAAGUUGGGCACUCUGGUGAGACUGCCGGUGACAAACCGGAGGAAGGUGGGGAUGACGUCAAAUCAUCAUGCCCCUUAUGACCUGGGCUACACACGUGCUACAAUGGAUGGUACAACGAGUUGCGAACUCGCGAGAGUAAGCUAAUCUCUUAAAGCCAUUCUCAGUUCGGAUUGUAGGCUGCAACUCGCCUACAUGAAGUCGGAAUCGCUAGUAAUCGCGGAUCAGCAUGCCGCGGUGAAUACGUUCCCGGGCCUUGUACACA
rnacentral:rRNA from 1 species